rnacentral:rRNA from 1 species
CCUACGGGUGGCAGCAGUGGGGAAUAUUGCACAAUGGGGGAAACCCUGAUGCAGCGAUGCCGCGUGGAGGAAGAAGGUUUUCGGAUUGUAAACUCCUUUUAUCAGGGACGAUAAUGACGGUACCUGAAGAAAAAGCUCCGGCUAACUACGUGCCAGCAGCCGCGGUAAUACGUAGGGAGCGAGCGUUAUCCGGAUUUAUUGGGUUUAAAGGGUGCGCAGGCGGAAGAUCAAGUCAUAGGUAAAAUUGAGAGGCUCAACCUCUUCGAGCCGUUGAAACUGGUUUUCUUGAGUGAGUGAGAAGUAUGCGGAAUGCGUGGUGCAGCGGUGAAAUGCAUAGAUAUCACGCAGAACUCCGAUUGCGAAGGCAGCAUACCGGCGCUCAACUGACGCUCAUGCACGAAAGUGUGGGUAUCGAACAGGAUUAGAUACCCGGGUAGUC